rnacentral:pre_miRNA from 1 species
GCUCCUGAUUGUCCAAACGCAAUUCUCGAGUCUCUGGCUCCGGCCGAGAGUUGCGUCCGGACGUCCCGAGCC